UACGUAGGUGGCGAGCGUUGUCCGGAUUUAUUGGGUUUAAAGGGUGCGUAGGCGGUCCUAUAAGUCAGUGGUGAAAUAUCGCAGCUUAACUGUGAGGGUGCCAUUGAUACUGUAGGACUUGAGUGAAUUUGAGGUAGGCGGAAUUGACGGUGUAGCGGUGAAAUGCAUAGAUAUCGUCAAGAACACCGAUAGCGAAGGCAGCUUACCAAGCUGUAACUGACACUGAGGCACGAAAGUGUGGGGAUCAAACAGG
rnacentral:rRNA from 1 species